GACGAACGCUGGCGGCGUGCCUAACACAUGCAAGUCGAGCGAGUGAAUCUCCUUCGGGAGUGAAGCUAGCGGCGGACGGGUGAGUAACACGUGGGCAACUUGCCUCAUAGAGGGGAAUAGCCUUUCGAAAGGAAGAUUAAUACCGCAUAAGAUUGUAGCUUCGCAUGAAGUAGCAAUUAAAGGAGCAAUCCGCUAUGAGAUGGGCCCGCGGCGCAUUAGCUAGUUGGUGAGGUAACGGCUCACCAAGGCGACGAUGCGUAGCCGACCUGAGAGGGUGAUCGGCCACAUUGGGACUGAGACACGGCCCAGACUCCUACGGGAGGCAGCAGUGGGGAAUAUUGCACAAUGGGGGAAACCCUGAUGCAGCAACGCCGCGUGAGUGAUGACGGCCUUCGGGUUGUAAGCUCUGUCUUCGUAGGACGAGUAAUGACGGUACCGUGA
rnacentral:rRNA from 1 species